GAGUUUGAUCCUGGCUCAGGAUGAACGCUAGCGUCAGUUAACACAUGCAAGUCGAGGGGUAACAGGAGUAGCUUGCUACUUGCUGACGACCGGCGCACGGGUGCGUAACGCGUAUACAAUCUACCUUUUGCUGAGGGAUAGCCCAGAGAAAUUUGGAUUAAGACCUCAUGGUAUAUAGGAAUGGCAUCAUUCUUAUAUUACAAAGGUUACGGCAAAAGAUGAGUAUGCGUUCUAUUAGCUAGAUGGUGUGGUAACGGCACACCAUGGCAACGAUAGAUAGGGGCCCUGAGAGGGGGAUCCCCCACACUGGUACUGAGACACGGACCAGACUCCUACGGGAGGCAGCAGUGAGGAAUAUUGGACAAUGGAGGCAACUCUGAUCCAGCCAUGCCGCGUGCAGGAAGACUGCCCUAUGGGUUGUAAACUGCUUUUAUACAGGAAGAAACACUCCCUCGUGAGGGAGCUUGACGGUACUGUAAGAAUAAGGAUCGGCUAACUCCGUGCCAGCAGCCGCGGUAAUACGGAGGAUCCAAGCGUUAUCCGGAAUCAUUGGGUUUAAAGGGUCCGUAGGUGGAUAAUUAAGUCAGAGGUGAAAUCCUGCAGCUCAACUGUAGAAUUGCCUUUGAUACUGGUUAUCUUGAGUUAUUAUGAAGUAGUUAGAAUAUGUAGUGUAGCGGUGAAAUGCAUAGAUAUUACAUAGAAUACCAAUUGCGAAGGCAGAUUACUAAUAAUAUACUGACACUGAUGGACGAAAGCGUGGGGAGCGAACAGGAUUAGAUACCCUGGUAGUCCACGCCGUAAACGAUGGAUACUAGCUGUUCGGAUUUAUCUGAGUGGCUAAGCGAAAGUGAUAAGUAUCCCACCUGGGGAGUACGUUCGCAAGAAUGAAACUCAAAGGAAUUGACGGGGGCCCGCACAAGCGGUGGAGCAUGUGGUUUAAUUCGAUAAUACGCGAGGAACCUUACCAGGGCUUAAAUGUAGAUUGACAGGACUAGAGAUAGUUUUUCCUUCGGGCAAUUUACAAGGUGCUGCAUGGUUGUCGUCAGCUCGUGCCGUGAGGUGUCAGGUUAAGUCCUAUAACGAGCGCAACCCCUGUCGUUAGUUGCCAGCGAGUGAAGUCGGGAACUCUAACGGGACUGCCGGUGCAAACCGCGAGGAAGGUGGGGAUGACGUCAAAUCAUCACGGCCCUUACGUCCUGGGCCACACACGUGCUACAAUGGCCGGUACAGAGGGCAGCCACCCCGCAAGGGGGAGCGAAUCCUUAAAGCCGGUCUCAGUUCGGAUCGGGGUCUGCAACUCGGCCCCGUGAAGCUGGAAUCGCUAGUAAUCGGAUAUCAGCCAUGAUCCGGUGAAUACGUUCCCGGGCCUUGUACACACCGCCCGUCAAGCCAUGGAAGCUGGGGGUGCCUGAAGUCGGUCACCGCAAGGAGCGGCCUAGGGUAAAACCAGUAACUGGGGCUAAGUCGUAACAAGGUAGCCGU
rnacentral:rRNA from 1 species